GAUGAACGCUAGCGGGAGGCCUAACACAUGCAAGCCGAGCGGUAUUGUUUCUUCGGUAAUGCGAGAGCGGCGUACGGGUGCGUAACACGUGUGCAACCUGCCUUUAUCUGGGGGAGAGCCUUUCGAAAGGAAGAUUAAUACUUCAUAAUAUAUUGAACGGCAUCGUUUAAUAUUGAAAGCUCCGGCGGAUAGAGAUGGGGCCGCGCAAGAUUAGCUAGUUGGUGAGGUACCGGCUCACUAAGGCGAUGAUCUUUAGGGGGCCUGAGAGGGUGAGCCCCCACACUGGUACUGAGACACGGACCAGACUCCUACGGGAGGCAGCAGUGAGGAAUAUUGGUCAAUGGGUGCAAGCCUGAACCAGCCAUCCCGCGUGAAGGACGACUGCCCUAGGGGUUGUAAACUUCUUUUGUAUAGGGAUAAACCUACCCUCGGGAGGGUAGCUGAAGGUACUAUACGAAUAAGCACCGGCUAACUCCGUG
rnacentral:rRNA from 1 species